rnacentral:rRNA from 1 species
GAUGAGCGCUAGCGGCAGGCCUAACACAUGCAAGUCGAGGGGUAGUAUAGCAAUAUAUGAGACCGGCGCACGGGUGCGUAACGCGUAUGCAAUCUACCUUUUACAGGGGAAUAGCCCAGAGAAAUUUGGAUUAAUGCCUGAUAGAAUAUAAGAAUCGCAUGGUUUUUAUAUUAAAGUUACAACGGUAAAAGAUGAGCAUGCGUCCAAUUAGUUAGUUGGUAAGGUAACGGCUUACCAAGACGAUGAUGGGUAGGGGUCAUGAGAGGGAGAUCCCCCACACUGGUAAUGAGACACGGACCAGACGCCUACGGGAGGCAGCAGGGAGGAAUAUUGGACAAUGGGCGCAAGCCUGAUCCAGCCAUGCCGCGUGCAGGAAGACGGUCCUAUGGAUUGUAAACUGCUUUUAUACAGGAAGAAACACCACUACGAGUAGUGACUUGACGGUACUGUAAGAAUAAGGAUCGGCUAACUCCGUGCCAGCCGCCGCAGUAACAC